GUCCACGCCGUAAACGAUGGGCACUAGGUGCUUGGGGGAGCGACCCCCUGGGUGCCGGCGCUAACGCAUGAAGUGCCCCGCCUGGGGAGUACGGCCGCAAGGCUGAAACUCAAAGGAAUUGACGGGGGCCCCGCACAAGCGGUGGAGCAUGUGGUUUAAUUCGACGCAACGCGAAGAACCUUACCUAUGCUUGACAUGCAGGAGAAACGCUCCAGAAACGGGGCGCCCUCUUCGGAGUUCCUGCACAGGUGCUGCAUGGCUGUCGU
rnacentral:rRNA from 1 species